UUGAGCAGGGGAUCAGGCCUGUUGUUAUUGGAUAGGACAGAGCAGAAAGGACAAUGGUGAUGGACUGGUUCAUUUGGAAUCUGACCAAAAUGGGAAGAUUAAAUAUAGUUUACCAGAUGCCAAAGAUGCAUCUAUAAUGCAUUCAGCUCAAAACUUGAAGGAAGGCCACCAAGUUGCAGGCUCUCGCACAAAGGUAAUGAUUAGUCACGAAGUUCGUUCGAGGACAAUGAUGUACUAGAGCGUGCUAUUGAUGAAGAGCAAGUCUUCAGUAACGAUGGCAGAAAUUUUAUAGGAUCAUGCCUUCCCUGACUUCAUAUAAAUUGAGCUAUUAAUUACUAAACAAUAGAGCUAUUAUUUUUACUUCAGCUAUAUACAAAAACAAUGUCAUUCUAACGUUUUCUUCCUGCUGUA